AGCAGUAUGGUGUAAUGAUGCACGUCGGAUUUUCUUGAGGAUCAACUUAUAUGUGUAAUUCCCGAGGUCCUUUUUCGAAUCAAGGUACUGCUC